AAUAAGUAAGCUAAAAAAGCUAUUAGGUUCAUACCCUAAAUAUAGGACUAAUAACCCUCUUAUUUAA
rnacentral:tRNA from 1 species